GACGAACGCUGGCGGCGUGCUUAACACAUGCAAGUCGAACGGUGAUCUUGAGAGCUUGCUCUUGGUGAUCAGUGGCGAACGGGUGAGUAACACGUGAGUAACCUGCCCCUGACUCUGGAAUAACUUCGGGAAACCGAAGCUAAUACCGGAUAUGACACAGAGCCGCAUGGUUUCUGUGUGGAAAGUUUUUCGGUUGGGGAUGGACUCGCGGCCUAUCAGCUUGUUGGUGAGGUAAUGGCUCACCAAGGCGACGACGGGUAGCCGGCCUGAGAGGGGGACCGGCCACACUGGGACUGAGACACGGCCCAUUUUCCUACGGGAGGCAGCAGUGGGGAAUAUUGCACAAUGGGCGAAAGCCUGAUGCAGCGAUGCCGCGUGAGGGAUGAAGGCCUUCGGGUUGUAAACCUCUUUCAGUAGGGAAGAAGCGCGAGUGACGGUACCUACAGAAGAAGCACCGGCUAACUACGUGCCAGCAGCCGCGGUAAGAC
rnacentral:rRNA from 1 species